rnacentral:rRNA from 1 species
CUUGCACCGUCGAAAGAAAAAGAGUGGCGAACGGGUGAGUAACACGUGGGUAACCUGCCCAUCAGAAGGGGAUAACACUUGGAAACAGGUGCUAAUACCGUAUAACACUAUUUUCCGCAUGGAAGAAAGUUGAAAGGCGCUUUUGCGUCACUGAUGGAUGGACCCGCGGUGCAUUAGCUAGUUGGUGAGGUAACGGCUCACCAAGGCAACGAUGCAUAGCCGACCUGAGAGGGUGAUCGGCCACACUGGGACUGAGACACGGCCCAGACUCCUACGGGAGGCAGCAGUAGGGAAUCUUCGGCAAUGGACGAAAGUCUGACCGAGCAACGCCGCGUGAGUGAAGAAGGUUUUCGGAUCGUAAAACUCUGUUGUUAGAGAAGAACAAGGAUGAGAGUAAAAUGUUCAUCCCUUGACGGUAUCUAACCAGAAAGCCACGGCUAACUACGUGCCAGCAGCCGCGGUAAUACGUAGGUGGCAAGCGUUGUCCGGAUUUAUUGGGCGUAAAGCGAGCGCAGGCGGUUUCUUAAGUCUGAUGUGAAAGCCCCCGGCUCAACCGGGGAGGGUCAUUGGAAACUGGGAGACUUGAGUGCAGAAGAGGAGAGUGGAAUUCCAUGUGUAGCGGUGAAAUGCGUAGAUAUAUGGAGGAACACCAGUGGCGAAGGCGGCUCUCUGGUCUGUAACUGACGCUGAGGCUCGAAAGCGUGGGGAGCGAACAGGAUUAGAUACCCUGGUAGUCCACGCCGUAAACGAUGAGUGCUAAGUGUUGGAGGGUUUCCGCCCUUCAGUGCUGCAGCAAACGCAUUAAGCACUCCGCCUGGGGAGUACGACCGCAAGGUUGAAACUCAAAGGAAUUGACGGGGGCCCGCACAAGCGGUGGAGCAUGUGGUUUAAUUCGAAGCAACGCGAAGAACCUUACCAGGUCUUGACAUCCUUUGACCACUCUAGAGAUAGAGCUUCCCCUUCGGGAGCAAAUUGACAGGUGGUGCAUGGUUGUCGU